rnacentral:tRNA from 2 species
GGGGCGGUGGCGGAACAGGCAGACGCAGCGGACUUAAAAUCCGCCGGUGGUGACACCUUGUGGGUUCAAGUCCCACCCGCCCUACCA